UUACGGCCACACCACGUUGAAGCACUGGUUCCCGUACGAUUACUGAAGUUAAGCAACGUUGAGCCUAGUCAGUAUCUGGAUAGGUGACUGCUUGGGCAUGCCAGGUGCUGUAA